rnacentral:rRNA from 1 species
CUCCCGGUUGAUCCUGCCGGACCCGACUGCUAUCAGAGUGGGACUAAGCCAUGCGAGUCAACAUAGCAAUAUGUGGCAUACGGCUCAGUAACACGUAGUCAACAUGCCCAGGGGACGUGGAUAACCUCGGGAAACUGAGGAUAAACCGCGAUAGGUCAUCACUUCUGGAAUGGGUAAUGACUUAAAUCUAUAUGGCCCCUGGAUUGGACUGCGGCCGAUCAGGCUGUUGGUGAGGUAAUGGCCCACCAAACCUGUAACCGGUACGGGCUCUGAGAGGAGGAGCCCGGAGAUGGGCACUGAGACAAGGGCCCAGGCCCUAUGGGGCGCAGCGGGCGCGAAACCUCUGCAAUAGGCGAAAGCUUGACAGGGUUACUCUGAGUGAUUUCCGUUAAGGAGAUCUUUUGGCACCUCUAAAAAUGGUGCAGAAUAAGGGGUGGGCAAGUCUGGUGUCAGCCGCCGCGGUAAUACCAGCACCCCGAGUGGUCGGGACGUUUAUUGGGCCUAAAGCAUCCGUAGCCGGUUCUACAAGUCUUCCGUUAAAUCCACCUGCUUAACAGAUGGGCUGCGGAAGAUACUAUAGAGCUAGGAGGCGGGAGAGGCAAGCGGUACUCGAUGGGUAGGGGUAAAAUCCGUUGAUCCAUUGAAGACCACCAGUGGCGAAGGCGGCUUGCCAGAACGCGCUCGACGGUGAGGGAUGAAAGCUGGGGGAGCAAACCGGAUUAGAUACCCGGGUAGUCCCAGCUGUAAACGAUGCAGACUCGGUGAUGAGUUGGCUUAUUGCUAACUCAGUGCCGCAGGGAAGCCGUUAAGUUUGCCGCCUGGGGAGUACGGUCGCAAGACUGAAACUUAAAGGAUUGGCGGGGGAGCA